rnacentral:rRNA from 1 species
UGAACGCUGGCGGCAUGCCUAACACAUGCAAGUCGAACGGCAGCGCGGGGAGCUUGCUCCCUGGCGGCGAGUGGCGAACGGGUGAGUAAUGCUUGGGAAUCUGCCCUGUAGUGGGGGACAACCCGGGGAAACUCGGGCUAAUACCGCAUACGUCCUACGGGAGAAAGCGGGGGAUCUUCGGACCUCGCGCUAUAGGAUGAGCCCAAGUCGGAUUAGCUAGUUGGUGGGGUAAAAGCCUACCAAGGCAACGAUCCGUAGCUGGUCUGAGAGGACGAUCAGCCACACUGGGACUGAGACACGGCCCAGACUCCUACGGGAGGCAGCAGUGGGGAAUAUUGGACAAUGGGGGAAACCCUGAUCCAGCAAUGCCGCGUGUGUGAAGAAGGCCUGCGGGUUGUAAAGCACUUUCAGUAGAGAAGAAAAGCAUAGGGAUAAUACCCCUGUGUCUUGACGUUACCUACAGAAGAAGCACCGGCUAAUUCC